rnacentral:lncRNA from 1 species
UAAUAUUCUCUAUUGCCUGGCAACUCAUUAAUGUACUUAUUUGUUUGGUUCAGGAGGCAAGUUAAAAGAAGAAAAGUUACAAAAAUAAUAUCCCGAUAAGAAAAUAACAAACUAAAAAUUGUGAAAGAUCGUGUCAAAAACCUAACUAAAUAAUGAGUCAAAGACCUUGAAGAAUUUUGACUUCAAAUCGUUUAAUGUCGUGAGUCCAAUGAAUAAAUAAUGAAAAUACCUCGUCAGAAACUACUAUAUACAUAUUUACUAAUGGAAAACAAAGCUUUUCGAUAGUCCUUAAGAUGUUGGGAUUCGAUGAACUUAUAAUGAAACAAAAUUCGAUUGGUACGCAGAGAUGAAUCCAACACGAUCAGUAAGUAAAAGUUUUCUUCUUUCCUUCUUGUAGUCAAUAUUAUAAUAAGAGUUAGGAGACUAGAAUAUCUAUAUAAUGUUGUUCUGAAAACAGGAGCAAAAAAGUUGUUUUUUUCUCUGAUGCGUUUUCCUCUAUAAUAAUUUCAAUAUAAACUAGUCAGCAGUAUUGUUUACUCUGAUAGAUAGUCAAUUAUGUGUUUCUGAGGAAGCCCUAGUUGAUUCUUUUCGUCCAUUUUGUUCACACCUGCUGUAAGAUCAGACUCAGAUUUUGUUAUUGUGCUAGGUGACUAACGACUCCCAGUGUCUAGAUGUCAUAGUUUCGUUAGCACUAAAAGGAGACGCACUAUUGGCACAAUGACAGUUACAAAAUGUAACUAGCUUAAAAAUGUUGGCUUUUGGUGUGACCGAACGACGAAUAUCUACUAUAAACAUAUACUACUAACUGAGUAAUUUAAUUGAAUGUGUUAAAAGAAAAACAACAUCGGUUGAUUGGUAACUUAAAUAGUGCUAUUGUUUUCCUCUAUUGCCUACAAAAUACUAAACCAAAAAAAAUUACAAACUUACAUUAGCUUCAAAUUCAAGAUUAACUUCAAAUUCAUAAUAUUAAAACUAGCAGAAAGAGAUAUAUAUAUAAUAAGUUUUAAAUUUUCAAAAAAAAAAAAGUCAAAUUCAAAAUAGUCUUUUACUAUACUAAGCAAAAAUAAUUCCUUCCUAUGAGAUUUAAAAAGAUUAACCUAAACUACAAACUAGUCUUCUUAUUCAUUAAAGGAACUAUUACGUAAUCUAAUACUAAUAAAAAAAGAAAAUACAAUAAAAAGAAAUUCAAAUUAAACUAUGUACUUAUUCAGUAGUAUCAAAGUGAACAAUUCAUUUCCCUAUUCCGUUGAGAACCUUAUGCUAAAUAAUAAGAAAAAGAAUUAAAAAGAAAAACUAAAACAAAAAAACUUAAAUAUAUAAGAGUGUCGUAGGCGGCGACUAUUAGAAAAGAUAAACAUAACAGUUUCGAGACAGACUAUAAAGGUAGGUCUAGGAACAAACUUUUCAGGAAACCAUAGCAAAAAAACUUGGUAAGAUUUAGAAAAAGGUAGUUACUUAUUGUUUAAGGUUUUUGCGUGGUAGAUUCCGAUUACUUUCCCCUGCAGAUCUUCUAGUUCAUAGUAGCAAUUCCGACCGGACGAACAAUGCGACAUUUAAGAAACUUCCUACCCAUUUUAGCGUUAUAUAAUUUACUCGAGUCGCUAAGUGUAAAGUUACGGCGAAAAACUUCCUGACCCGGACGGAAUAGUUACGCACGAGUGGCGUAACUAUUCGCCAGGUUUUUCGAAUUUCCUCGCGUAUUAGUUCUUGUCUUUUCGUUUUAGGUAAAAGGUUCAUCUCGGCGUCCUCUAUUAGUUCCAGUUUUCUGGCCAAUUUAUAAACGCUGCCGUGAGUUAUCAUAUUCGUCCCAAACAAAGCAAAGUAGGGAGUCAUACCAAUCGAUGUGUGCACUGAUGACCUGAGUGCACACUCUAUUUCGGAUAGAUGGUUGUCCCAAUCUCUCUGGUCACUCUUCAAGUAAGAUCUUAUUGCGGCUAAAAUCGAUUGGUUGACUCUCUCCGACGCAUUGGCUUGGGGUGAAUAUAUAGCUGUUCUCAUGUGCUUGAUACCAAACAGUUUCGCCAUAUCUGCAAAUUCUUUGGACUGAAACUGACUUCCAUUAUCGGAUAAAAUUACCUCUGGGACGCCAAACUUAUGGAAAACUUCCGAAACCAAGAAACGAACUACGUUCUUAUUAUUAGCCUUGGACAUAGCCUUCAAUAGUACGAAUUUCGUAAAGUGAUCUAAAACAAUAAAUAUGAAACAAUUUCCUGCCUUCGAUCGAACAUACGGCCCUAAAAAGUCUAUAUAUAUAUAUAUAUAUAUAUAUAUCUUUUGAAACGGACGCACUACUUCCGGAAGAUUCUCAAUCAUUAGUGGUCUAACAACCUGGUUACAAGGUUUAAGAGUUUUGUGAAAACCACCAUGGCUUGCCGUCGGAGGAUUGUGGGCCUUGCUAAUAAUGUCCUUGCAUAACUCAGCGGGCACCCAUAAUUUCCAAGAAAAAUCCUCUGUAAGAACGUCGCCGUUGUAAUGUGAGGUACGUUUGUAAACAUAAUUAUCCUCUACUUUCAAAUCGGGUAACUGAUCUUCAUUUUCCUUAAUUUCCGACAAUAAUUCUCGAUAUUCUUCCGACGAAAAAGACGGGUCCUCUAAAUCGAUUAGUUGCCUUAUAUCGGCGGCAAUUUCCUCCAUGUCGUAACGCGAGAGAGUAUCUGGUACAAUAUUCUUGCUCCCUUGGCGGUGUUCAAUCUUGAACGAAUAGGAUUGUAGUAGCAGGCUCCAUCGGGCUAGUCUUCCACUUAAUUCUUUAUUGGACAUCAGCCAUUUCAAACUGGAAUGGUCCGUAAUGACUGUAAAAGCCAUUAAUUCAAUAUAUGCCCGGAAUUUUUUGAUGGCCAUUACUACUGCCAGACACUCUCGUUCUGUAACCGAGUAGUUCCGUUGCGCUGGUGUUAACUUUUGCGACAUAAAGGCAAUUGGAUGUUCGCCCUCAAUUUCAUCCUUUUGAAAAAGAACCGAUCCGAUACCGAUGUCCGAAGCGUCGCAUUGGACAUAAAAUGGCUUCGAAAAGUCCGGAUGACGUAAUACUGGACUAGAUGUGAGGGCCACUUUCAAUUUAUCAAAUGCCUUCUUCGCCUCAUCUGGGAAAACGAACGUUUUAGAUUUUUUGAGCGUUUCAAAAAUCGGGUUAGCAAUGGUAGCGUAGUCCUUAAUAAACCGACGGUACCAGCCGGUAGUUCCCAUAAAACCGCGCACUUGUCUGGACGUCUUUGGGUAAGGAAAAUCGAGUAUCGAGGAUAUUUUUGCUGGGUCAGGUUUCAAUUUGCCUUCUCCAACAAUAUAUCCAAGAUACCGAAGUUCCUUAAAACAAAACUGUGAUUUUUCG